UGAAUAUAGUUAUAGCAUGAACUAAGUACGAUUUCAUAUACAGUGUUUAAGGAGAGCGAUUUUUGACUACUUUGCUUAAACUGGUCUCGGGGUCAUACGUCAAAAUGAGAGAAAUCACAUACAAAUUUAAACUGAGCUCAACUCUCAAUUUCCUUUUUCAUUGAUGAAUAUUUGACAGCUGACCCCGAGACCAAUUAAAUUUAACUGGUUUUCGCUCCCCUUAA